rnacentral:lncRNA from 1 species
CCAUUUUCAAUUUCUACUCUCUUUCUAUUUUAAAUCUUUCUUUCUCUCUCACUCGAUUUUCUGUGUAUAGUGUGCGAUUUUUGGUGAAUAUGUGUGUGUGGUGUGUGCGAUUUUUGUUGUAGAAGAUAGAGUGGAGAGUCUGUAUUCUUCAUGAAGAAGAAAACCAAAGAUGGUCUCUUUUUCUUUUCUUUUUUUGGAGGUGUGUGAUAUGUGAGCUGUGAUGAUAAGAUGAAA